UGAUGUUUCCAUUAUUUCCUUUGGAAGUCAUGUGUGAAAAUGGUGUUUAAUGCGAUCUCUAAUUAGGACUCUGGUGCCGCCAUCUGGAUGAUCGGUGAUGAAGAACGUGAACCGUGAUGUGGAACGUGUAGUUAUUGUAAUAAUUCGUGAUGCGUUAAAAGAAACAAGUAAAUAAGUCACUGCUUACGGCUGUUGACCCGUAUUUCGAACAUAUAUCUGCUGGCGAGGUGCGUUUGCAAAGCUUGGAAAAUCUUGUAACAGGAAGCUCUUUAACUGACCCCACUUGUGAUAUUCAUACUGUGCAUUUACCCAUUCCUUGGGAAUGGUUGCUCAGCAAGACAAGACUGUUCCAUUGGUCCAAUCGUAUAUGGUUUGCAAGUGCUCGAUAUUCGUCCUUAACUGUUGUAAUGUUAUGUUGGCUUUUAUAGGAUCAUAGUCAUGCAGCAAUUACAUCCAUUAUGAUGUUAUUUUUCUAGAUGUCUUCAAAGCCCACUACCAGCACUAAGCUCAGCCAAAUGGUUUUCUUCCUGAUGAAGGAGAAUUGGCCGAGCUCAGCCAACGUGUUCGGGCCAUGGAAAGCGAUAUGGAAGCAAACGCAAUGCAGCUGGCGGAGACCACAAACCAAGUUGCGAAGAUGACGGCUAUGCUGUGGAUGUGGCGUUCCCAGUCGCUUCGGAUGAGGGCUUGUUAGCUUUAGAGAUAAAAAGGGCUUAAAAAAUCAGGGUCCAAAUAACACGACUUAAGUAAAGUAUUUAUAGUCUAAAUGAUCGUUAAAUGGAUUCUGUUUUAAUUUUUUUUUUCAGAGUGAAGCAAUAACAGAUCUCUUAAGGCGCAACAAUUGCCCAAAACAAUCAAGAGCGUUGGGGCCGAAGAGAUCUUGUGUGCGCACAACA